ensembl:lncRNA FAM27C family with sequence similarity 27 member C
UGCAAUUUCGUCUGGAGUCCCCAGACCCCUCCUCAUCCUUCCCAGGGUUGCUCUGAGGCCAUUCCUUGUCAUCUAGGAGGGGUCUACAUAAAAGCAUUUAUAAACACCUCCAAAUGGGAGCCAGGCGUGCCCACCUUUGGAGCACUUUUCUCUACUGCAAAUUUAUCUACUGCUCGUGAAAUCUCUGGAUUUAACUCUGAUGAAAGACUGGAGGCUGAAGGAGAACUUCAAUAUCAUAUAUUUUAAAGGUUGAUUCACAGUUUGGAGCAAGAAUUAAAGAACCACGAACUUCAAGGUAAAACGGGCAACGGCGUUGGGGCAAGCCUCUCUGCAUCUGCGUGUCCAGCCUCUCCUGCGUGCCAGAAGUUCCCAGGCAGGAGUGUGGUGGGACAUCCGGCUGGGUCUGGAUAAAGUGCUUCAUGCCUGUAAUCCAAGCACUUUGAGAGGCUGAGGCGGGUGGAUGGCUUGAGCCCAGGAGUUUGAGACCAGCAUGGAAAACAUAGAGAAACCCCAUCUCAAUAUAAGAAGAAGAAGAAAAAGAAAAAAAAAAUCAAAAACGAAAACAACACAAAUUUUAGA